AGGGUUCGAUUCUGGCUCAGGAUGAACGCUAGCGGCAGGCUUAACACAUGCAAGUCGAGGGGCAACGCGAGUAGCAAUACUUGGCGGCGACCGGCGCAAGGGUGCGUAACGCGUGAGCAACAUGCCCGUAUCAGGGGGAUAAUCCAGGGAAACUUGGUCUAAUACCCCAUAGUAAUUUUGUAAGGCAUCUUAUAAGAUUUAAAGCUUUGGUGGAUACGGAUUGGCUCGCGUGACAUUAGCUGGAUGGUAAGGUAACGGCUUACCAUGGCUAUGAUGUCUAGGGGUUCUGAGAGGAAGGUCCCCCACACUGGAACUGAGACACGGUCCAGACUCCUACGGGAGGCAGCAGUGAGGAAUAUUGGACAAUGGAUGGAAAUCUGAUCCAGCCAUGCCGCGUGAAAGGAAGAAGGUCCUAUGGAUUGUAAACUUCUUUUGUAUGGGAGCAAUAAGGCCUACGAGUAGGUUGAUGAGAGUACCAUACGAAUAAGCACCGGCUAACUCCGUGCCAGCCGCCGC
rnacentral:rRNA from 1 species